GCCAUCCUAGCUCAGUCGGUAGAGCAGCGGUUUCGUAAACCGCAGGUCACCGGUUCAAGUCCGGUGGAUGGCUC
rnacentral:tRNA from 1 species